UACGAACCGUACAAACGUUAUUCGGAAUCACUGGGCUUAAAGGGUGCGUAGGCGGCCACGUAAGUGAGAUGUGAAAUCCCUCGGCUCAACCGAGGAAGUGCAUUUCAUACUGCAUGGCUUGAGGGAGACAGGGGUCAGCGGAACUGAUGGUGGAGCGGUGAAAUGCGUUGAUAUCAUCAGGAACACCGGUGGCGAAAGCGGCUGACUGGGUCUCUUCUGACGCUGAGGUACGAAAGCUAGGGGAGCGAACGGG
rnacentral:rRNA from 1 species